CGGGCCGACCAGUGAAUUUGACGUUGCGUGUCCCUGCCCAGGUGGGUUGGCGCAAGAUGGAACACAAGAGGGGCAAUGUAUUAUCCCACGCCGGGGGGUGCUCGUAGUAGGGGUUACAAGCGUCGCGCGAGAGAGAGAGGGCCUGUUCAUUUGCCCGUUCCUCCGCGCGACCUCUGACCCUCCCGCAGGAAGGGUCUGGACCUCCCUUUUAUAGAUGUAAGGAGAGGGUCCAGAUGUACAAUGGGGGGUGUAGCAAUGUGCUAACGUGUCCGGCAGUGGAGUGCCUGAGCCCUGUGUGUAUGCCAACGUGGCUGCCGGAGAAGCGCUUGAGCCUUAUGUACGAGAUAACGUGGCCGUCGGAGGAGCGCCUGAGCCCUGUAGAAGCACAGCUGGUGGUGCGGCUGGGAUCCUGCUGACGUCUCCUUGCUUCCGUAGGGGGCUGAGAACCACCUACGUCAUGGACGCACGCGAGGAACCAUCAUUACCCAUUUACCGGGGCGAGCCAGAUGGGACGUCGGUCUUGUUCCCUCGUAGCCUGAGCUAGCUAGGGAUAGGGUAAUGAUGUAUCCCCUGUGGCGCGGUCGGUCCGAGCCCAAGGUCGGGCGAGGCGGAGACUUCUCCCGAGGCCGAGGCCGGGGUCGGGCGAGGACGUGAUUUCUCCUGAGGCCAAGGCUGAGGCCGAGCCAUGGGGUCGGGCGAGGCGGAGACCCCCUCCUGAGGCCGAGGCCUAAGGUCGGGCGAGGUGGAGCUUCCUGUUGCGCCCAAGGCUGAACUCGGUUGUUGUCAGCCUUACCCUGGUGGGUGGCACGGCAGUCGGAGCGGGGCGAGCGACGCUGUUUUCCUGUCAGGUCGGUCAGUGAAAGGGCGAAGUGACCGCGGUCACUUCGACCUUGCUGACUGAGACGCGCGUGUCAGGAUAAGGUGCCAGGCGAUCGCCGCAUUGAAUGCGUCUGCGAUACGGUCGGUUGGUGAGGCAAUUUGGCCAAGGUUGCUUCACAACGAAGCCUGCCCGAGCUAGGCUUCGGGCGAGCCGAGGGUGCGCCCACUGCCUGUGGAGGCCCUCGGGCGAGGCGUGAAUUCGUCUGGGACUACAGUUCUGGCCCGAGGCUAGGCUCGGGCGAGAUCGCGUCCCGUGGGUAGACGAAACCUUGACUUGAACCGCGCCCAUCAGUCUUUGUUGUUUGUGCUGAUGGUGCUUACCAGCCAUGAUUAGGAGUGUUGGGAGUACCCCUAAUUACGGUACCCGACAAUUAUCUUUUUGCUUUUUUGCCUAUCAAAGUCAAAGUUGCAGAAUAUGAUUGAGAUUCAUGCAUUUACUAUGCUUUGAUAAUAUUGCUACCUCACGAGCAAAAAAACGGAUUGUUAAACAACAAUUUGGUUACAUAAAUUGCAGAAUUGUGUAAUCAGUAGUGUGUUCCAUGUUUCAUAUAUAUGAAAAAAUUGUGCUACAUUUGUCAGACCUUAUGAGAAGGAAAGUUUUGGUAAACUAUUAUUUAAUUUAAUAUAAGAUAUCUAUCACUUAGUAAUUGAAUAAUAUUGUAGCAAUUUGAUUUCCAUCUCAGCUCAUGCUAAAUAUUAUUACAACUAAUGUAUAUGACUAGCAAUAAUCAACAUGCACAAUGAUGAGUAUCUUGUUCCUUUCCAAAAUGAUCAAGAAAAAGAGUUGAAGGUUGUGCAGGAGGCUGGACUCUGCAGAGUAGAGGUAAUUGCAGCAAGAGAGGCUGUUCUUGAACGUCAAAAUAUAUGAGGAGAAGCUAAAAAACAACAGGAUCAAGUCCAUCAUCGAGGUCAGCAUCUUCAAAAGGGUACUCGGCAUCAUCUUGCAUAUCUGGAUUCUGGCAUGGAAGUCUAGAAACAUUACUUCUAUCGACUUUGCACGGAACCACACAAGCAGCUCCUUCCUAAACUCCCAUGAUAGAUCGCGUAAGAAAUAAAUGUUCUACAUAGAACACACAGUAGGGGAAACAGUCAGGAAAUCUAACCGCAUUUACAGGCUCAGAGUCAGCUUUUGGGGGGUUCUCAACAUGAUCCUUCCUUUUAUUCUUUUUCUUACUCUUGGUAGCUUUCCUGCCUCCUGAACCUGUCAAAUGGUUAUAUAGAGCCUAAGAAUAUUUUUAUUUAAACAAAACAUAAAUUGUCAUCAUACAAGAUAAGUGUUGUAGAAAUGCAUAUGUUGUAUUAGAUUUGUGGCUAUACAAAAAGGGAUCUAGUCGAAAUGAUGGUAUAAGUGAUAGGCUAGCGGUAGCAACAAUUGAAAAAAAAAA